rnacentral:tRNA from 1 species
CGGAGUUUAAUUUAAAGAGAAUAUUAGCUUUGGGAGUUAGUUGUGGAGGUUAAAAUCCUCUAAUUCCGA